rnacentral:rRNA from 1 species
AAAUGCCUCUUAUCACCCCGUCUUGGAACACGGACCAAGGAGUCUAACAUGUGUGCGAGUGCUCGGGGUCAACCCCCCAGCGCGAAAUAAACGUAAAGGUGAACUUGUUCACUUAGGUAGGAUCCUUAGGUGCACUAUCGACCGACCAUGAUCCUCCGGGAGAAAGGUUUGAGUGUGAGCAUACAUGUUGGGACCCGAAAGAUGGUGAACUAUGCUUGAGUAGGGCGAAGCCAGGGGAAACUCUGGUGGAGGUCCGCAGCGAUUCUAACGUGCAAAUUGAUCGUCGAACUUGGGUAUAGGGGCGAAAGACUAAUCGAACCAUCUAGUAGCUGGUUCCUCCCGAAAUUUCCCUUAGGAUAGCUGCAACCGAACAGUUUUAUCAGGUAAAGCGAAUGAUUAGAGGAAUCGGGGGCGCUUUGUCCUCGACCUAUUCUCAAACUUUAAAUGGGUAAGAUCCAGUGGUUACUUAGCUGAACUUCUGGGAUAAAUGCCAACUCUAAGUGGGCCAUUUUUGGUAAGCAGAACUGGCGAUGAGGGAUGAACCUAACGUUGAGUUAAGGUGUUUAACUGCUCGCUCAUCAGAUACCAUAAAGGGUGUUGGUUCAUUUUAACAGCAGGACGGUGGUCAUGGAAGUCGAAAUCCGCUAAGGAGUGUGUAACAACUCACCUGCCGA